GGGACUCCCUUUGCUCGGGGAUUUCUUUGUGGGGGAAGAGAGCACUGUCAGUUUAAUGCCAGGGGAACUGCACAGGAGAAAGGAAGUUAAAAAUAGUGCUGGGGAAGGGUUAUCCUAUAGCCCUGAGUAGGAGGGGACGGAGGGGCUGUGCUCCUCAUGGUGCCCUAUGGUGCAGAAGGGGAUGUGCACACCCUGCAGUCUGACCUGGUGGUUCUUUGAGGACAGAUUGGAGACUUCUGACCCCGUGUGUCUGCAAGGUAAGUGUGAGAACUGGGCUUCAGCUGAGCCUGGCAGGGAGGGUGACACUCUUCCCAAAGCUGCUGUGCCGGAGCACUUUGUUGACGUUCUCCAUUGUGUUACUGCAGCAUUUGUUGGAGUGAUAGCAAACAUGAGAGGGAAGAGGAGCAGCUCGGGGUGGGGGGUGUGAGUCUGCGAGAAGGGCAACAAGUCAGAAAGUGCACGAGGAAGCUUUCACUCUUCUCGGCACCGAACUGCUGGUGAACUGUGAGCUUGCACUUUGGUUAGGAAGUGAUUAUUGGAAUUAAACAGGAAAGAUACAAUCUUAAUAUUCCAUGGGAGCUGCCAAUACAAAUAUCUAUCAGCAGAUAUGUAAGAGAAUAGCUUCAAAAUAAAAGGAAAAUGAAUUACGUUUCUGAAGGAGAGUGAUGUCAGCCCCAAACCAAGCUAUAUAUAUUCUUUGUAUCUGAAAUUGAAACCACGUGAACUCUCCAUGCAGAGCUGGGUGAAACUCUGCUUUUCCACGUUUCCCCUUAGGGAUGAGGGAUGUUAUUCUCUGGUUUUAAUUUGGGAGUAAUAAAUAAGCGUGAUGGAUUUGCCACCCAAUGGCGGCUGUGGAGCUGCGCACAGCUCAGUGCAGGGAGUGCUGCAGAAGUGGUGCCAAAGGUGUAUCCCUACUGCUGGUGCUGCCAUCAGAAAGGAAAGAGGUGCCAGGUGAACUGGGCAAGGGGCAGGUCAGAGAGCAGGGAAAUCUGUCUUAUCUCUGCAUCCAAAAUGUCCUUCUGGCUGCACAGGGUCGUAGAAUGCACACAGUGAAUUAUAUGGCAAAAUAUCCAGUGGUCUUUUUCAAUAGGGAAAGAAAGAAAGCAGGCGGGGAUUUAAGAGACAAAGCAGUUCAACUCGCUGGUUCCUUUCUGUUUGCAAAUGGGGACAUUUCUGAUGAGAUCCAAAAACCACUCCAAACCUUCAAAAUUAGCAAACAACCAUCUGGCCUGGUGGCUCAGCGCCUUCCGUGGCCAUAAAUCCACAGCCCUGCAAUGUUAACAGGGGAUUUGCUCUGAAAAAAACCCCAGAAUAAUGGGAAAACAAGGCAGGAUGGGGUGGGAUGGCUGUUGGAAUCUGCAGGGUUCAGCUGAGCAUUGUGGGGUCAGUGAUCUGCACACAGCUUUGGACUCUGUGUGGGAACCCCUGGCAUGGAAUGGGGAGCUGCAGGGAAGUGCCAGUUCCAGUGCUCUGUGCAAUGCUUUGGUCUGAGCUCCUCCCCUGCACUGCUGGAUUAUUUUAGCUAAGAUAAUCUAAAGAUACCUAUAAAGUAGGAAUAAAGAGGUAAUACCACCGGAAGAGCCCCAAAAUACUCUCAAGACUUAUGGGCACGAUGGCUCCAAGGAUCUCAAACAGCCCUUGGUGCACAGCAUCAGCCUGCACCCACUCCCUGCCCUGCACAAUGAAUGUUCCCUUCCUCACCCUCAUCCUGCAUCCCACAUCCUGCAGACUUCAGGCUCUCCCAGAUACUGCAGGGCUGAUGAAAAUCACUCUGGAGCUCAACACUGAUGCAAAUGCAAAGACCUUUUGCUCUUGCAUUCAAUCAGAAAAUAGUUCUGCAUACUGCUGGUACAGAGCUGGGGCUGCUCAGCCUUAGUGCCUGUCUGCAGCUCCCUCUGAGGAGGGGUUUGUGGUUCUGGACGAGAGCUGUGCCCCCCUUUCUCUCUCUUGCAGCCUCAGUGUCUGCCCGGUGCCCAGCCUGGCACAGCAGAGAGCUCUGGGCAGGUUUUGAGUGUGGAGCUGUGGAUGCCUGGAUGAGCUGUAAGGCACAACUUGAGCAAAGCAGUAACAAAGAGCAUCGUGAGCAGAGCGUGAUGCUGCGGAUCAGUUCACGGUCUCUUCAGAAGGAUGGGAGGCACUUCCAGCGCUGUGAUAGGAACUGUGGGAUGGGAACAAGGAACGGGCCUCUGGAAAUGCUGAAGUAGCAGAAAAAUGCCGGCAUAGAGAUGGAAAAAAACCAAAACCAUCCGGGUGUCACCAAAUGCGAACUGAAAUGUACGGCGAUAAUGGGAGCAAAGCCAGGCCGAUUAUAUUUGCGGGUUAUUUAGCCGCACCGACAACACCUCGGGCUCUCGUUGGAGGACGCACCGCCCGAAGCACCCCGGCCUCUGCCUGCCACCUGGAGGCCGGAGCCUGCAAACAGCUUUUCCUGCAGCCCCCCUCGUUGUGCACGCAGCAUACGGGCACGUUCUGGAUGCAGCCCCCCGGUAUCCCAUCCCAGCCGUUCUCCUUCCCAGCAGCGCGCUCCUACUGGGCAGCAGCGCGAAGCGCUCUCCUUGUUCCCCAUCAUCGCACCAAAAGGUUUUUCCUCCCCGUUUUUUUUCUUCCUGCGUGUUCUCCCGGGGGCGACAAUGCGGAAUUUCCUCUGAAACUCGAGCAGAGGGAAGGAAAUGAACCUUCUUUGUUCCCCCCCCCCCCGCUUCCCUUUGUAAAGUAAUUAUCUUCUGCUCCUGCGAAGUGCCGUAGUAAGCAGCUUUGCAAGUUUUGAGUUGAAGCAAUGUGAUUCUCAGCGCCAUUUGCACGGAGCCGGGAUGUGAUCGCUGUCGCUGAGGCAGCUGCUGAAUCCCCGUGAGGGUUUUUGUCCCGGUUUUAUGUUGGAAAAUAGGGAUAAUUAUCACUGUUCCUGAAGGAGAGGUGGAAAAUGUUUGCCCCUAAGAACUGCUGGCUGUGUAGGUCUGCUUUACUCCAGCUGUAACUUAAUUCAUGACCUGUAAAAGCAAUCAAUGUGUCUUUUUUUUUUGAUAAACUAAAAAUAAAAGGGUGUUAUUUAUAAGAUCAGA